GAUGAACGCUAGCUACAGGCUUAACACAUGCAAGUCAAGGGGCAACAUGGUCUUAGCUUGCUAAGGCCGAUGGCGACCGGCGCACGGGAGAGUAACACGUAUCCAACCUGCCGUCUACUCUUGGACAGCCUUCUGAAAGGGAGAUUAAUACAAGAUGGCAUCAUGACUUCACAUGUUCACAUGAUUAAAGGUAUUCCGGUAGACAAUGGGGAUGCGUUCCAUUAGAUAGUAGGCGGGGUAACGGCCCACCUACUCUUCGAUGGAUAGGGGUUCUGAGAGGAAGGUCCCCCACAUUGGAACUGAGACACGGUCCAAACUCCUACGGGAGGCAGCAGUGAGGAAUAUUGGUCAAUGGGCGAGAGCCUGAACCAGCCAAGUAGCGUGAAGGAUGACUGCCCUAUGGGUUGUAAACUUCUUUUAUAAAGGAAUAAAGUCGGGUAUGCAUACCCGUUUGCAUGUACUUUAUGAAUAAGGAUCGGCUAACUCCGUGCCAGCAGCCGCGGUAAUACGGAGGAUCCGAGCGUUAUCCGGAUUUAUUGGGUUUAAAGGGAGCGUAGAUGGAUGUUUAAGUCAGUUGUGAAAGUUUGCGGCUCAACCGUAAAAUUGCAGUUGAUACUGGAUAUCUUGAGUGCAGUUGAGGCAGGCGGAAUUCGUGGUGUAGCGGUGAAAUGCUUAGAUAUCACGAAGAACUCCGAUUGCGAAGGCAGCCUGCUAAGCUGCAACUGACAUUGAGGCUCGAAAGUGUGGGUAUCAAACAGGAUUAGAUACCCUGGUAGUCCACACGGUAAACGAUGAAUACUCGCUGUUUGCGAUUUACAGCAAGCGGCCAAGCGAAAGCGUUAAGUAUUCCACCUGGGGAGUACGCCGGCAACGGUGAAACUCAAAGGAAGUGACGGGGGCCCGCACAAGCGGAGGAACAUGUGGUUUAAUUCGAUGAUACGCGAGGAACCUUACCCGGGCUUAAAUUGCAGAUGAAUUACGGUGAAAGCCGUAAGCCGCAAGGCAUCUGUGAAGGUGCUGCAUGGUAGUCGUCAGCUCGUGCCGUGAGGAGUCGGCUUAAGUGCCAUAACGAGCGCAACCCCUGUUGUCAGUUACUAACAGGUUCCGCUGAGGACUCUGACAAGACUGCCAUCGUAAGAUGUGAGGAAGGAGGGGAUGACGUCAAAUCAGCACGGCCCUUACGUCCGGGGGUACACACGUGUUACAAUGGGGGGUACAGAGGGCCGCUACCACGCGAGGGGAUGCCAAUCCCAAAAACCUCUCUCAGUUCGGACUGGAGUCUGCAACCCGACUCCACGAAGCUGGAUUCGCUAGUAAUCGCGCAUCAGCCACGGCGCGGUGAAUAAAAGGCCGGGCCGUGCACU
rnacentral:rRNA from 1 species